AUUCAACGCCGGAAAACUCACCAGUGCCGACGGACAAAUGAAAGCCAGUGUGAUGAGCUUGCUGGAUUGUUCGAGAGGUAGUGCAUGGCCGCCGUCAGUUCGUACCGUAAGGCGUUCUGUUAAGUCAGAUAACGAACGAGACCCUCAUCCCUAUUUGCUAAGGUCAGUCCGCUGAUCACAGGACUAUAGGGAGACCGCUGGCGCGAAGUCAGAGGAAGGCGAGGGCAACGGUAGGUCAGUAUGCUCCGAAUGCACUGGGCUACACGCGCAAUACAAAGGACGGGACAAUGGGCCGCUGCGCCGAGAGGCAUGUGGCUAUCCCGAAACCCGUUCGUAGUUCGGAUUGAGGGCUGUAACUCGCCCUCAUGAAGCUGGAUUAGGUAGUAAUCGCGUCUCAAAAAGGCGCGGUGAAUAUGCCCCUGCUCCUUGCACACACCGCCCGUCAAACCAUCUUAGUUGGGGGUGGGUGAGGCUACCUUCUAGUGGGGUAUUCGAGCCUGCCUUCGACAAGGAGGGUUAAGUCGUAACAAGGUAUCUGUA
rnacentral:rRNA from 1 species